UACCAGCACCCCGAGUGGUCGGGACGAUUAUUGGGCCUAAAGCAUCCGUAGCCGGUCAUGCAAGUCUUCCGUUAAAUCCACCCGCUCAACGGUUGGGCUGCGGAGGAUACUACGUGGCUAGGAGGCGGGAGAGGCAAGCGGUACUCAGUGGGUAGGGGUAAAAUCCUUUGAUCCAUUGAAGACCACCAGUGGCGAAGGCGAGUCCCUGGACAAUACCUGACACUGAGGCACGAAAGCCAUGGGAGCAAACAGG
rnacentral:rRNA from 1 species